rnacentral:rRNA from 1 species
GACGGACGGUGCAAGCGUUGCUCGGAAUUACUGGGCGUAAAGGGCGCGUAGGCGGCCUGUUAAGUCGAACGUGAAAUCCCCGGGCUCAACCCGGGAACUGCGUCCGAUACUGGCAGGCUUGAAUCCGGGAGAGGGAUGCGGAAUUCCAGGUGUAGCGGUGAAAUGCGUAGAUAUCUGGAGGAACACCGGUGGCGAAGGCGGCAUCCUGGACCGGCAUUGACGCUGAGGCGCGAAAGCCAGGGGAGCAAACGGG